UAGCGAAGGGGGCUAGCGUUGCUCGGAAUCACUGGGCGUAAAGCGCACGUAGGCGGAUUCUAAGUCGGUGGUGAAAGCCUGGAGCUCAACUCCAGAACUGCCUUCGAUACUGAGAGUCUUGAGUCCGGGAGAGGUGAGUGGAACUGCGAGUGUAGAGGUGAAAUUCGUAGAUAUUCGGCAAGAACACCAGUGGCGAAGGCGGCAUCCUGGACCGGUAUUGACGCUGAUGCGCGAAAGCCAGGGGAGCAAACGGG
rnacentral:rRNA from 1 species